rfam:Pseudoalteromonas luteoviolacea B = ATCC 29581, WGS project CAPN01000000 data, contig: 23
CUUGGUGACAAUAGUGUUGUGGACCCACCUGACCCCAUGCCGAACUCAGAAGUGAAACGCAACAGCGCCGAUGAUAGUGUGGCAGCUGCCAUGUGAAAGUAGGACAUCGCCAGGC